AACGCACAUUGCGCCCCUCGGUAUUCCGGGGGGCAUGCCUGUUCGAGCGUCAUUACAACCCUCAAGCUCUGCUUGGUGUUGGGCGUCACCAGUUGGUGUGCCCUAAAAUCAGUGGCGGCGCCGUCUGGCUCUCAGCGUAGUACAUGCUCUCGCUAUAGAUGCCCGGCGGAUGCCUACCAGCAACCUCUAAUCUAUCAAGGUUGACCUCGGAUCAGGUAGGGAUACCCGCUGAACUUAA
rnacentral:misc_RNA from 1 species